ACAAAGGGCAGCAAGUUCGCGAGGACAAGCAAAUCCCAUAAACCGUGGCUCAGUUCAGAUCGUAGGCUGCAACUCGCCUACGUGAAGGAGGAAUCGCUAGUAAUCGCAGGUCAGCAUACUGCGGUGAAUACGUUCCCGGGCCUUGUACACACCGCCCGUCACACCAUGGAAGUUGGCCACGCCCGAAGCCGUUACUCCAACCCUUGUGGAGGAGGACGUCGAAGGUGGGGCUGAUGACUGGGGUGAAGUCGUAACAAGGUAGCCGUACCGGAAGGUGCGGCUGGAUCACCUCCUAAC
rnacentral:rRNA from 1 species